rnacentral:rRNA from 1 species
CACGAACGCUGGCGGCAGGCUUAACACAUGCAAGUCGAGCGCCCCGCAAGGGGAGCGGCAGACGGGUGAGUAACGCGUGGGAAUCUACCCAUCUCUACGGAAUAACGCAUGGAAACGUGUGCUAAUACCGUAUACGUCCUUCGGGAGAAAGAUUUAUCGGAGAUGGAUGAGCCCGCGUUGGAUUAGCUAGUUGGUGGGGUAAAGGCCUACCAAGGCGACGAUCCAUAGCUGGUCUGAGAGGAUGAUCAGCCACACUGGGACUGAGACACGGCCCAGACUCCUACCGCCGGCAGCAGUGGGGAAUAUUGGACAAUGGGCGCAAGCCUGAUCCAGCCAUGCCGCGUGAGUGAUGAAGGCCCUAGGGUUGUAAAGCUCUUUCACCGGUGAAGAUAAUGACGGUAACCGGAGAAGAAGCCCCGGCUAACUUCGUGCCAGCCGCCGCAGUAAGAC